UUGGAGUGUUGACUGUCUCCACCUGCCGCCUGUGGCCUUGUGUGUUUCCCUCCCUGGCAGCUGGGGCAGCCAGAGCAAAGCAAACAGACACUGGAGGACAAAGUACCAGAGGAGCGUCUCUCUGGGCCUGCCCUGGUUCUAAAGACCUGGUGAUUUUCUGAGAGGGACGGGGAACCAGCGAGGUGCUGCUCUGAUGGGUGCGGGGUGCAGGGCAGGCGGUGGCGGGUUCUCCAACCCCAUGUCCAGGUCUUCCCGGCCCCUCCUCCCAUCACCAAGGUCCUUGUGACUGUCCAGGGGUGAAGGACCCGAUGCGCUUUGGUCCUUAGCAAAACAGAAGGAAAAUCCGACCCAGGGCCUCUCCGCCAGACCAUGUUCUGCCCUUUCUCAGUCUCCGUAGCGUGAAAUCCACCUCUUCUGCACUCCUGCGGCCUCUGUCCACAUUCUUUGAUUCGAAGACUCUUAAGAUACUCUGAUUUCUGAUAGUCCAGCAUUUUGGAGAAUGUCUGUCAUCUUCCAAAUCCAUCUAUAAGUGGCUACUAAUCACUUUCUCCACCAAUGAGGAUUCUGAACAGUUCCUGGUCAGUGGCUGUCAGAGUGCUUCAUUUAGGAGUGAUCAAUAUUUGUUCUAUCAGUGAACAAAUCAAUAAAUAAAUAAAAUCAAAAGGAGACUGCUUCACCCUAAA